rnacentral:rRNA from 1 species
UACGAAGGGGGCUAGCGUUGCUCGGAAUCACUGGGCGUAAAGGGUGCGUAGGCGGGUUUUUAAGUCAGAGGUGAAAUCCUGGAGCUCAACUCCAGAACUGCCUUUGAUACUGAAAGUCUUGAGUAUGGGAGAGGUGAGUGGAACUGCGAGUGUAGAGGUGAAAUUCGUAGAUAUUCGCAAGAACACCAGUGGCGAAGGCGGCUCACUGGCCCGAUACUGACGCUGAGGCACGAAAGCGUGGGGAGCAAGCAGG